rnacentral:ncRNA from 1 species
UUCGACGCGUUUAAGAGGAAUAGUAGGAAUAUGCCCCGCGCAUACAGAGAGUUGACGGCAGGUGCAAGUCAACCCGGGACUAUCUGAACUCGCCUCCCAGCACUUGCCCCGAAGGCCAUGUGUACAUGGUUGCGUAAGGGCAGGCGGCUCAUCCCCGUUACGGAUUUCAAGUGGGUGAAUGCUUUUUCAUUCGCCAAUCUGGGUGGUACCGCGGGAAUAUAAACAAACCUCUCGUCCCUUUC